GGCCUCAGUUGGUUAGAGUGUGGCGCUUAUAACUCCAAGAUUGCAGGUUCAGUCCCUGUAUGGGACA